rnacentral:rRNA from 1 species
GACGAACGCUGGCGGCGUGCUUAACACAUGCAAGUCGAACGGAAAGGCCCUGCUUUUGUGGGGUGCUCGAGUGGCGAACGGGUGAGUAACACGUGAGUAACCUGCCCUUGACUUUGGGAUAACUUCAGGAAACUGGGGCUAAUACCGGAUAGGAGCUCCUGCUGCAUGGUGGGGGUUGGAAAGUUUCGGCGGUUGGGGAUGGACUCGCGGCUUAUCAGCUUGUUGGUGGGGUAGUGGCUUACCAAGGCUUUGACGGGUAGCCGGCCUGAGAGGGUGACCGGCCACAUUGGGACUGAGAUACGGCCCAGACUCCUACGGGAGGCAGCAGUGGGGAAUAUUGCACAAUGGGCGGAAGCCUGAUGCAGCAACGCCGCGUGCGGGAUGACGGCCUUCGGGUUGUAAACCGCUUUCGCCUGUGACGAAGCGUGAGUGACGGUAAUGGGUAAAGAAGCACCGGCUAACUACGUGCCAGCAGCCGCGGUGAUACGUAGGGUGCGAGCGUUGUCCGGAUUUAUUGGGCGUAAAGGGCUCGUAGGUGGUUGAUCGCGUCGGAAGUGUAAUCUUGGGGCUUAACCCUGAGCGUGCUUUCGAUACGGGUUGACUUGAGGAAGGUAGGGGAGAAUGGAAUUCCUGGUGGAGCGGUGGAAUGCGCAGAUAUCAGGAGGAACACCAGUGGCGAAGGCGGUUCUCUGGGCCUUUCCUGACGCUGAGGAGCGAAAGCGUGGGGAGCGAACAGGCUUAGGUACCCUGGUAGUCCACGCUGUAAACGGUGGGUACUGGGUGUGGGGUCCAUUCCACGGGUUCCGUGCCGUAGCUAACGCUUUAAGUACCCCGCCUGGGGAGUACGGCCGCAAGGCUAAAACUCAAAGGAAUUGACGGGGCCCCGCACAAGCGGCGGAGCAUGCGGAUUAAUUCGAUGCAACGCGUAGAACCUUACCUGGGUUUGACAUGGAUCGGGAGUGCUCAGAGAUGGGUGUGCCUCUUUUGGGGUCGGUUCACAGGUGGUGCAUGCCUGUCGUCAGCUCGUGUCGUGAGAUGUUGGGUUAAGUCCCGCAACGAGCGCAACCCUUGUUCACUGUUGCCAGCACGUUAUGGUGGGGACUCAGUGGAGACCGCCGGGGUCAACUCGGAGGAAGGUGGGGAUGACGUCAAGUCCUCAUGCCCCUUAUGUCCAGGGCUUCACGCAUGCUACAAUGGCUGGUACAGAGAGUGGCGAGCCUGUGAGGGUGAGCGAAUCUCGGAAAGCCGGUCUCAGUUCGGAUUGGGGUCUGCAACUCGACCUCAUGAAGUCGGAGUCGCUAGUAAUCGCAGAUCAGCAACGCUGCGGUGAAUACGUUCCCGGGGCUUGUACUCACCGCCCGUCAAGGGCGAAUUCCAGC